AUCUGAAUCUUACUAGGAACUGUACAGAAGAAGAUGCAGGAGGUCUGAAGGGAAGUCAGAGACAAAAGAAGGAAGGAAGCAAGCAAGCACUGCUCAUGGAAUGGUCUGACAGCCCCAGGCUCGAGAAUGUGUCUCUCCCAAGUACUCUGUCACCCUGGUAACCAUGGAGACCAUGACGAUCGAUUAGAUGCCAUCUGAUCUCAACCUUAUAAAAAAAAAGGCAGCAGAUGGCAACCAGGCCACUAGACCUGUCUCAAGAGAGACGAAGAGGAAGAGCGAGAAAGAAAAGGAAGGAGGGAGAAAGGGGAGGAGGUGGGGGUGGGUUGGCGCAGGGAGAAGAGAGCCCAGAAGCAGCUCUGGAAAUGAAAAUUUUAGAAAAGAAUGAAAAUAGAAAACAAGGAAAGCAAUGGAAAAAAAGAAACUAAAACCCAUUGUGUGAUAGACCUCUACAGUGAGUUGUGGGAAGAUAAUUCUACAGAGAAAGCGAAUCAGCUGUCUCCUAACUUUCCACUUUUAUACAGAAUGGUGUGGAACCCGGGCCCCAAGGCUUCUCUGAGGGAUACGCACCAAGUUGGCUCUCAGAAUCGGUUGGACUUUGAUGCAUCCAAAAGAGAAUUCUGAGACCUGGUUCUCAGAAUAAAUGUCCCUAAUCAGAUGAGACCUUUCAGGGGACUGUAUGCAUCAAUACCUGGUAUGUUUGUCAGCCCAUCCCCAGCAGUGUUCUAAUACUCCUUAAAGGAAGAAGCGAUAACCAGGUCAGUAGAUACCUAAGGUGAAAAGAAGACAAGAGCAGUUAAGUCAAUUCUGGUAACCUAGGGGUCUUAGCCAGUGUCCCAGAGUAAUGUAAUGGCUAAUAUUGAUGAAGUGUUUAUGAUAUGUCAGACACUGCUAAGCACUACAUACAGAAUAUUUAAUUUAAUCCAGAUAACAAUACCAUAAGUUAGGUGCAAUAAUUAUUCCCAUUUUACAGAGAGGACCUGAGGCUUAGAGAGGUUAACUACCUUCAUCAAGGGCAUACCUAGAAUGCAAUAUGUAAAUGUUCAGAACAGCUUACUUAUAUAGAGAGUUGAUUUGCUCACUCUUGUUCUUUCUUUUUCAAUCCCCUCCCCUACCUUUUUUUUUGAGAUGGACUUUCACUCUGUCACCCAGCCUGGAGUGCAGUAGUGCAAACUCAGCUUACUGCAACCUUCGCCUCCUGGGUUCAGGUGAUUCUUCUGCCUCAGCCUCUGGAGUAGUUGAGAUUACAGGUGUGCACCACCACAUCUGGCUAAUUUUUGUAUUUUUAGUAGAGACAGGGUUUCACCAUGUUGCCCAGGCUGGUCUCGAACUCCCAACCUCAGAUGAUCCACCCACCUUGGCCUCCCAAAGUGCUGAGAUUACAGGCAUGAGCCACCGCGCCUGGCCUUCUCCUCCUUUUUAUUUAUUUAUUUUCAUUUUUUAUUUUUUGAGAUGGUGUCUUGCUGCAUCAGUCAGGCUGGUCUCAAACUCCUGGGCUCAAGUGAGCCUCUGCCUCAGCCUCCCUAGUAGCUGGGACUAUAGGCAUGCACUACCACACCUAGCAUUUUUCCCUUUUACAUUUUAUUUCAGAUUUUUGCAGAUUACAAAACAGGACAUGUCCAAUAUAGAAAACUGCUUAAAACAAGAGAAAGAAAGGGAAAAUUAUCUACAAUCCCAUUAGUCAGAGAUACGUGUGAUAAGCAUGUGGAUUAUGUAAUAUACAUAUAUAUAUAUAGAGAGAGAGAGAGGGAGACAGACAUGUAUAUUUUAAGCAAAUAUAGUAUUAAAUCUUAAAUACUGUUUGGUUAACCUACUUUUUUUUGGAACAUUAUAUUAUGAAAAACUUUCCAUAUUUUUGACUCUUCUAUUUUAUCUGAUUUAAUGAUUAUAGCAUUCUACUAUCUGAUGUAUCAUAAUUUUAUUUAACUACUUCCUUAUUAUUGGAUUGUAUUUCCAGAUUUUUGCUACUAUAAAUAAUGCUAUGGUGAUCAUUCUUGUAUGUAAACCUUUUUUGUACUCCUCUGACUUUUUUCUUUAGAAUGAAAACAUACUUGCUAAGUCAAAGUGUAUGUUUUCUCAAAACUUCUAAAUUGAGGUAUAGCAUAUAUACAACAAAGUGAAUAAAUCUCAAGUGUACUGCGAUUUGAAUUCUACAAGUGUAUAGACAAUGGGUACAACCACCACCCAGAUCAAUGGAUUAAACAUUUUCCAGAAUGCUUUUCAUGCCUCUUCCCAGUCAAUAGCUAUCCCCUGUUCUUGAACUUCAUAUAAAUGGAAUCAUAGAGUGUGUAUUCUUUGGUUUCUGGCUUCCUUCACUCAACAUAAUGUCUGUGAGAUUCAUCCAUGCUGUGGAGUAUAGCAGUAAUUCA
rnacentral:lncRNA from 1 species